GCGCCUGUAGCUCAGUUGGAUAGAGUAUCAGCCUCCGAAGCUGAGGGUCACAGGUUCGAAUCCUGUCAGGCGCG
rfam:Piscirickettsia salmonis strain PM15972A1, complete genome.